rnacentral:rRNA from 1 species
UACGUAGGGGGCAAGCGUUGUCCGGAUUUAUUGGGCGUAAAGAGCGUGUAGGCGGCCAGAUAGGUCCGUUGUGAAAACUCGAGGCUCAACCUCGAGACGCCGAUGGAAACCAUUUGGCUAGAGUCCGGAAGAGGAGAGUGGAAUUCCCGGUGUAGCGGUGAAAUGCGCAGAUAUCGGGAAGAACACCCGUGGCUAAGGCGGCUCUCUAGUACGGUACUGACGCUGAGACGCGAAAGCGUGGGGAGCGAACAGG